rnacentral:rRNA from 1 species
AGCGAACGCUGGCGGCAGGCCUAACACAUGCAAGUCGAACGAAGCCUUCGGGCUUAGUGGCGGACGGGUGAGUAACACGUGGGAACGUACCUUUUGGUUCGGAACAACUCAGGGAAACUUGAGCUAAUACCGGAUGAGCCCUUAGGGGGAAAGAUUUAUCGCCGAAAGAGCGGCCCGCGUUAGAUUAGCUAGUUGGUGAGGUAAAGGCUCACCAAGGCAACGAUCUAUAGCUGGUCUGAGAGGAUGAUCAGCCACACUGGGACUGAGACACGGCCCAGCCUCCUACGGGAGGCAGCAGGGGGGAAGCUUGCGCAAUGGGCGAAAGCCUGACGCAGCCAUGCCGCGUGAAUGAUGAAGGUCUUAGGAUUGUAAAAUUCUUUUACCAGGGACGAUAAUGACGGUACCUGGAGAAAAAGCCCCGGCUAACUUCGUGCCAGCAGCCGCCGUAACAC